GCAGGUACUGCGGAUUGAACUCAGGGGCACUCGACCACUGAGCCACAUCCCCAGCCCUAUUUUUUUUUUAAAGAUAGAGUGAGAGAGGGAGGGAGGGAGAGAGAGAGAAUUUUUAAUAUUUCUUUUUUAGUUUUCGGCGGACACAACAUCUUUGUUUGUAUGUGGUGCUGAGGAUCGAACCCAGGCCGCAUGCAUGCCAGGCGAGCGUGCUACCGCUUGAGCCACAUCCCCAGCCCCCCCAGCCCUAUUUUGCAUGUUAUUUAGAGACAGGGUCUCACUGAGCUGCUUAGCACCUCACUUUUGCUGAGGCUGGCUCUGAAUUUGCAAUCCUCCUAUCCCAGCUCCCAAGCCACUGGGAUUACAGGCGUGCACCACCUUGCCUGGCAAGGACUAGGUUCCUGCACGCUCUGCCAUGGAAAACAGAUCCUUGCCCCAGACCCUGAGGCCCUUCUCCACACAGGCUCAGAAGGGGAGAAAAGAGCCCAGAGUCCACCUCCCAGGGAGCAGCCAUGCCAGAAUCAUCAUCCCUCCUGCUUAGCGUGCUUGAGCCUCUGAACUUGGA
rnacentral:lncRNA from 1 species